rnacentral:rRNA from 1 species
GGCGAACGGGUGAGUAAUACAUAAAUAAUCUGCCCAUAUGACUGGGAUAACUAUUGGAAACGAUAGCUAAUACCGGAUAGGUUAAUUGAAGGCAUCUUCGAUUAAUUAAAGUAGGUUUUCUACACAAAUGGAUGAGUUUAUGGCGCAUUAGUUAGUUGGUGAGGUAACGGCUCACCAAGACGAUGAUGCGUAGCCGACCUGAGAGGGUGACCGGCCACACUGGGACUGAGACACGGCCCAGACUCCUACGGGAGGCAGCAGUAGGGAAUUUUCGGCAAUGGGCGCAAGCCUGACCGAGCAACGCCGCGUGAGUGAUUAAGGCCUUCGGGUUGUAAAGCUCUGUUGUAAGGGAAGAACAAUCAGUAUAGGAAAUGAUACUGAUCUGACGGUACCUUACCAGAAAGCCACGGCUAACUACGUGCCAGCAGCCGCGGUAAUACGUAGGUGGCAAGCGUUAUCCGGAAUUAUUGGGCGUAAAGGGUGCGUAGGCGGUUUAUUAAGUCUAUGGUGAAAGUGCGGGGCUCAACCCCGUAUGGCCAUAGAAACUGAUAGACUAGAGUGCAGGAGAGGGCAGUGGAAUUCCAUGUGUAGCGGUAAAAUGCGUAGAUAUAUGGGAGGAACACCAGUGGCGAAGGCGGUUGCCUGGCCUGUAACUGACGCUGAAGCACGAAAGCGUGGGGAGCAAAUAGGAUUAGAUACCCUAGUAGUCCACGCCGUAAACGAUGAAUACUAAGUGUUGGAGAAAUUCAGUGCUGCAGUUAACGCAAUAAGUAUUCCGCCUGGGGAGUAUGCACGCAAGUGUGAAACUCAAAGGAAUUGACGGGACCCCGCACAG